rnacentral:rRNA from 1 species
UGGGGAAUAUUGGGCAAUGGGGGAAACCCUGACCCAGCGACGCCGCGUGGAGGAUGACGGCCCUCGGGUUGUAAACUCCUGUCAGGUGGGAAGAAGGACCAUUCGGCUAAUACCCGGAAGGGAUUAACGGUACCACCAAAGGAAGCCCCGGCUAACUCCGUGCCAGCAGCCGCGGUAAUACGGAGGGGCAAGCGUUAUUCGGAUUUACUGGGCGUAAAGCGCACGUAGGCGGCACUGUAAGUCAAAGGUGAAAGCCCUCGGCUCAACCGAGGAACUGCCUUUGAAACUGCCUUGCUUGAGUCCGGGAGGGGGGAGCGGAAUUCCCAGUGUAGCGGUGAAAUGCGUAGAUACUGGGAGGAACACCGGUGGCGAAGGCGGCUCCCUGGACCGGUACUGACGCUGAGGUGCGAAAGCGUGGGUAGCAAACAGGAUUAGAUACCCUGGUAGUCCACGCUGUAAUCGAUGAAUACUAGGUGUCGGGGAUUUUUUUCUUCGGCAUCGCAGCAAACGCGUUAAGUAUUCCGCCUGGGGAGUACGCUCGCAAGAGUG